rnacentral:rRNA from 1 species
GCCGAACGCUGGCGGCGUGCCUAAUACAUGCAAGUAGAACGAGUUGCGAACGGGUGAGUAACGCGUGGUAACCUGCCUCAUAGCGGGGGAUAACUAUUGGAAACGAUCGCUAAUACCUCAUACCCUCGGAUGUGCCCCGAUGUGAUUAGCUAGUAGGUGGGGUAACGGCUAACCUAGGCGACGAUCCCUAGCUGGUCUGAGAGGAUGACCAGCCAGACUGGAACUGAGAAACGGUCCAGAAUCCUACGGGAGGCAGCAGUGGGGAAUAUUGCACAAGGGGCGAAAGCCUGAUGCAGCCAUGCCGCGUGUAUGAAGAAGGCCGUCGGGUUGUAAAGUAAUUUCAGCGAGGAGGCGUUACUCGCAGAAGAAGCACCGGCUAACUCCGUGCCAGCAGCCGCGGUAAUAC